GACGAAGGAUGCAAGCGUUAUCCGGAUUCAUUGGGUUUAAAGGGAGCGUAGGUGGCCUUAUAAGUCAGUGGUGAAAUCUCUGGGCUUAACCCAGAAAUUGCCAUUGAUACUGUAGGGCUUGAGUAUAGUUGCCGUUGGCGGAAUAUGACAUGUAGUGGUGAAAUACAUAGAGAUGUCAUAGAACACCGAUUGCGAAGGCAGCUAACGAAACUAUAACUGACACUGAGGCUCGAAAAGUGCGGGAUCAAACAGG
rnacentral:rRNA from 1 species